AAUUUUCAUACUUGUAAUCAAACGCACCCUUAAUGUUGCCCAUGGAGAAAUGUCGUUUCUAGACCGUCGCAAUCGGAGUCUCUUUGACAUAUUCUCACUAACCAUACUAAUCCCAAUGGAGAUGUACUUGUAUUAGCAGCCACGAUUUACAUCUCAACAAUCAGACUUAGAUAUUUUAACAAUGCAUUUCUAGGGUUUUAUAGUAGCUUGAAUGUUGGUAAUAACAACAGAAAAUACAAAAUCAAAUGGAUGAUUUGUGCAAUAUUGUGGUGAUUGCGGUGAGCGGGGAUCUGUGGAGGAUCAAUAUGAUGUUUAUGGAUUAUGAUUUUCUUGAGGAUGGAUGAAGAAAGAGACGAUUUCGGGGGAGGUUUUGAUUUGGGGGUUUUGGAGUUUUUUUUUUUUGUCAAAGAUAAUAGCGUGUUUGUUGUUGCUAUCAUAGAUUAAGGGUAUGUUUGUUGGGGUCAUAUUUUAAAGGCGUGAUUGUUGGAUUAAAAUUAGCAUCAUAAUUGGUAG
rnacentral:lncRNA from 1 species